CGCUCAACGGAUAAAAGGUACGCCAGGGAUAACAGGCUAAUCAUUCUUUAGAGACCCUAUCGAUGGAGUGGUUUGGCACCUCGAUGUUGGAUUAUCGCAUCCUGGAGCUGUAAAAGGUUCCAAGGGUUUGGCUGUUCGCCAAGAAAGGCGGUACAUGAUCUGAGUUUAGAACGUUGUAAAACAGUUUGGUCCCUAUCUACCGUAAGUGUUAAAAAUUAAAAGGAGUAGACCCUAGUACGAGAGGACCGGGAAAAGUGAAUCUCUGGUCAAUCGAUUGUUAUUUUAAUAGCAUAGUCGAGUAGCUAUAUUCAUAAUAGAUAAUUGUUGAAAGCAUUUAAACAAGAAACUAACCUUAAAAAAAAUUUUUUAAAAGUCGUAGAAGAUUACUACGUAAUAGGCUUAAUGUGUAAGAGUUGUAAAACUUUUAGCUAAUAAGUACUAAAAU
rnacentral:rRNA from 12 species